GAAAAACGUGGUUUGGGAGGAAAUGCUAAGAGGAGAGAAGUGACUGCCGCUGGGAUAGCGGAGAGGAGGAAGGACCCGGAGCAACGAGAGAAAGAGCCAAAUGUGGGAUCAACGAAACCGCGGGAAAAGGAGGAGGAACGACCAGACUGAAGAAAGAAAAUCAUACAGGUUUGGAAUGACAUGAGGAUCACAGUUCUUAUUCUGCUGGAAGAAAUGCCAGUUACAUAAGAAAGGUCAAAGAUCAAGUUGCAAAGGCAGUCAGUGGAGGGACAGAAUGCUGUCAGAUUUCAUCAAAAAAAAAAAAUCUUCAUUUGUGUUCCUGAAGAUGAAUGAAUAUCUUACGAGUUUGGAACGACAUGAAGGAAUGCUGUGGAACUGCAGUUUGGAAUAUCAUCAUUGUUAUUCAUUCUCCAAGACUGGAAUGACAGAAAGAAUUUCAGCAUGCACGAAUGAAUAUCAUCCAUGAGCGUUUGGAACCACAUGUGGACACAUAAACACACACCAAGACGUUCAGCACCACAUUUCGAGAAACAUAGGAAUCGUACUCAGGAGAGACUGCAUCGAGACUGACACGAGAACAAAGAAAUGGAAAAAACCUGCACAAAUAAAAGCCCUCCCAUGUAAGAAACUAUGAUUUAAUGGAAAAUGUUUGUAAUGUUUGAUCAUAUAAUGAGAAUGAUUUGAGUAGCGUAAACAAAUGCACCAUAGAUCUUUAUGCAUUAAUUUGAUUGCAUGCUAGAACAGGUGUCUCAAGGGACGUUUUUUUCUACACAUCUUGCAUCAUAAUGCAAGCUACUGCAUUGAAAUUUUGAAAGCCGUCAACUUGAUCCCCAUCCAUUUUUUCAGUAUAAAAGCACAUCAAGAUUUCUGUCAUAAUCACGUCACCUUAUUCUUGCUCACUUGAUUUUCCCCAAACACUUUGUCGGUCUCUGGUGUUUUGGCUCAUUAUCGUUUGAUUAAUCUGUCUAAUUGUUUGUUUCCCUUUUCAAUAUACUGCCAUGAUUGGUUGUAUAACUUCUUUGUUUGUUUGUUUAUUCGGCUCCAUCAUCAGCGUGUGUUUGGUGAAUUCACAAUGUGGAUCAUGAAUAUGUAUCGUGCACAGGAUGUUGGUAUUCAGAUCCUGGAGAUUAUAUACUCGCUGUGUAUUUAUGGUGAAACCAGAGUGGUGAUGAAUUGACUGCUUAGUGCCACCUAGUUAACCCCUGCUGGUAGAUGUUGUAACUAUACCAUCUGGGUACAAAAAGCAUUGACGCCAUUAGCUAUGUUUCCAUCCGAAGUUGCAAAUUUUUAUCUUAUGUGCAAAAUUGGAAUGUCGCAUAAACUUUUGCAAAUAAAGCAGCGUUUCCAUCCCAUGUGUUCAAGAGAACAAAAUCUUCACUUCCUAGGAAGUUGCUCAUGAAACAGACGAAAUGCAAUAAACGCUGCCAUGUCUUGUGUUCGGAUGCCUGAUAUUUGUGAACGCAAUCAUGAGAGAUUUUUCUGGGAGGUCAUUAUACCAAAUCAUUUUGAUGACAGACAUUGACUCAGGCAUUUCAGAAUGACCAAGCCAACCAUGGUUGCCAGGUUUUCACAACAAAACCCACCCAUUUGCUACUCAAAACUAGCCCAAUACUAGCCCAAUCGCGUUUCGUGGGGGGUCCCACAGUAAAAAUCGCAUUCUGGGGGGUAAAUCUGCGUAUUUGGCGAGGUUCCCCUGAAAAAAGUUGCAUUCCAGAGUCUAAAUAUCAUGUUAUUUGGGGUCGCUUCAACACACGGACAUGAAAAACAACCCACUGCAACAAAGUGUAAAAGUAAAAAAAAAAAAAAACGGGAAAACCGUGGACUUGGCAACACUGAAGCCAACAUCUGAGAUGCUGUGCCAUGAUAUUGGUCAGCUCGUUAGUCCAGUUAUCCAAUCACAUCCUCUGUGGAGGCAAAGUCACAUGAUUUUUUUUUUGUUGUUGUUGUUGCACAUCGAGCGAUUUAUUUGGUAAAUAUGUAUCCAUCGUAGUUUAUGGGCAUGUCUUCUUAUCGGAUAAAAAAUAUAUCCGCCUCAAUUGAGCGCAUACAUUUUUAUGCGCAUUUUUAGAAUUUAUGCGCAUCUUGGUGUUUCCAUCCAACAUUUUUUUUUUUUUUUUUAUGCUAUUUCCCAAAAUGCACAUAAAAAUAGGUGGAUGGAACCUAGCUAUUCACAAGUAACUGUGUAUUAUGCCAAAAUUGUCCAAGUAAAAAUUUACCGAGUAACAUAUAAAUCACAAGUUUAUAUUGCUGUAGAUUUUCUGCUGCCAAGUGUUUCUGGAACUUGGUGUCCAUAAAAAACAAAGAUGGCAGCCUCGCAUACUUCCGGGAAUCCUACGCCAGCUGAGCAUUUGCCCUUGAGAUGAAUCGGAAUCAACAUAUAGCUUUCUCAAGGUAUUAUAGACUUAUAAUCUAUUCAUAUACAGAAAAUCUAUCUCGUAUAUUAAUAAUAAUAAUAAUAUAUUUUACACAGAACAAUUAAUUUUAUUUACAUGCAUAGCUGAAAGUGUAUUAUUAUUGUUUUAAAUAUUAUUCAUUUUCUUUCAUUUUUACUUCCUUUUAAUUUGAGACUUUUAUUGUUUCCUUUUAUUAUUAAUAUUAUACAUGAUAAAAAGACAAUUUUUUGUAAAAAGGAGUCACAUGAUCAACGUUUGCUUAAUGACCUAGAAAUAGUACACAAUCAUUUUAGGUCAUAACUUGUCUUUUUAUUUUAUCAUCCUUAUUUUAAAAUAAAAAAAUAAAUGUCCUACUUAUUUUCAGAUUUAAAUCCCAUAUGUCCAGUGUGGUCUCAGAUUUUCAGCCCCCAGUGUAUAUUAUUAAACACUAAGUAUACGUCUUUAGAUUAUUAUGUAACCUACUAGCUCAUACACAUGUAUCAUAUUACAUAGAGUCUGAACUGAAACCGUAUAACCUCACAUGUAUGCACAGAGUUUCCUCAAACAGGCUUAAUUGAGUUAUUCCAACCUGUCAUUAGAUCAGAUCUUUGUGUCAAAGGAAGGAGUUUAGUAUAAUGCAGCAUGAUGGCUGGUGACACUUUUCAUUACUGCAGGGUAAUCACCUCAGAGCUUUUGUUGUCUGGAAAAGGAAUCUCUCUCUUUCUCUCCAUCUCUGAAAUGAUCUUUAACUCACAAUCUCCCCAUCUAUCCCGUAUUGUUUCAUCUGUUCCAUUUCACACACAAAGACACCCUUCCAAGCCUUGAGAUCAAUCACAAGGUGUUAUGACUGUUCUUGCGUUCGAGUGCCAGACAUUGCUGUGGGGGGGAGAAAGAGAGAGAGAACGGCUGAUAUUCUAUGGACAAAACGCAGGAGUG